CCUACGGGUGGCAGCAGUGGGGGAUAUUGCACAAUGGGGGAAACCCUGAUGCAGCGACGCCGCGUGAGUGAAGAAGUAAUUCGGUAUGUAAAGCUCUAUCAGCAGGGAAGAAAAUGACGGUACCUGAGUAAGAAGCCCCGGCUAACUACGUGCCAGCAGCCGCGGUAAUACGUAGGGGGCAAGCGUUAUCCGGAUUUACUGGGUGUAAAGGGAGCGUAGACGGCAGUGCAAGUCUGGAGUGAAAGGCGGGGGCUCAACCCCCGGACUGCUCUGGAAACUGUGCGGCUGGAGUGCAGGAGAGGCAAGUGGAAUUCCUAGUGUAGCGGUGAAAUGCGUAGAUAUCAGGAGGAACACCAGCGGCGAAGGCGGCUUACUGGACUGUAACUGACGUUGAGGCUCGAAAGCGUGGGGAGCAAACAGGAUUAGAUACCCGGGUAGUC
rnacentral:rRNA from 1 species